rnacentral:rRNA from 1 species
UACGGAAGGCAGCAGUGGGGGAAUAUUGCACAAUGGGCGCAAGCCUAAUGCAGCCAUGCCGCGUGUAUGAAGAAGGCCUUCGGGUUGUAAAGUACUUUCUAGUCGUGAGGAAGGUGUUAAGGUUAAUAACCUUAGCAAUUGACGUUAGCGACAGAAGAAGCACCGGCUAACUCCGUGCCAGCAGCCGCGGUAAUACGGAGGGUGCGAGCGUUAAUCGGAAUUACUGGGCGUAAAGGGCACGCAGGCGGUUAAUUAAGUUGGAUGUGAAAUCCCCGGGCUUAACCUGGGAAUGGCAUUCAAGACUGGUUAGCUAGAGUCUUGUAGAGGGGGGUAGAAUUCCAUGUGUAGCGGUGAAAUGCGUAGAGAUGUGGAGGAAUACCGGGUGGCGAAGGCGGCCCCUGGACAAAGACUGACGCUCGAUGUGCGAAAGCGUGGGGAGCGAAACAGGGAUUAGA